rnacentral:rRNA from 1 species
UACGUAGGGGGCUAGCGUUGUCCGGAUUUAUUGGGCGUAAAGAGCUCGUAGGCGGCUAAGUAAGUCGGGUGUGAAAACUCCAGGCUCAACCUGGAGACGCCACCUGAUACUGCUGUGGCUAGAGUCCGGUAGGGGAGCAUGGAAUUCCUGGUGUAGCGGUGAAAUGCGCAGAUAUCAGGAGGAACACCAGUGGCGAAGGCGGUGCUCUGGGCCGGAACUGACGCUGAGGAGCGAAAGCGUGGGGAGCGAACAGG